rnacentral:rRNA from 1 species
CCUACGGGAGGCAGCAGUGAGGAAUAUUGGUCAAUGGCCGUAAGGCUGAACCAGCCAAGUCGCGUGAAGGAAGAAGGAUCUAUGGUUUGUAAACUUCUUUUAUAGGGGAAUCAAGGUAUCCACGUGUGGCUAUUUGCAUGUACCCUAUGAAUAAGCAUCGGCUAACUCCGUGCCAGCAGCCGCGGUAAUACGGAGGAUGCGAGCGUUAUCCGGAUUUAUUGGGUUUAAAGGGUGCGUAGGUUGUUUUUUAAGUCAGCGGUGAAAGUUUGUGGCUCAACCAUAAAAUUGCCGUUGAAACUGGAAGACUUGAGUGUGUUUGAGGUAGGCGGAAUGCGUGGUGUAGCGGUGAAAUGCAUAGAUAUCACGCAGAACCCCGAUUGCGAAGGCAGCUUACUAAGCCAUAACUGACACUGAAGCACGAAAGCGUGGGGAUCAAACAGGAUUAGAUACCCCAGUAGUC